UACGUAGGGACCGAGCGUUGUCCGGAUUCAUUGGGCGUAAAGAGCUCGUAGGCGGCUGUUCAAGUCGAACGUGAAAACUCGGAGCUCAACUCCGAGCCUGCGUUCGAUACUGGACGGCUAGAGUCUGGUAGGGGGGAUCUGGAAUUCCUGGUGUAGCGGUGGAAUGCGCAGAUAUCAGGAGGAACACCGGUGGCGAAGGCGGGUCUCUGGGCCGACACUGACGCUGAGGAGCGAAAGCGUGGGGAGCGAACAGG
rnacentral:rRNA from 1 species